UCUACAACAUUAAGGUCAGGUUUUACGAUCUAAUAAGCAAACUAGUUUUAGGGUUUCUCUUCUUUUGGCAGUUGCAUACUUGGUGCUUAAGAAUGAUCAACGAUCGAUCUUGAAUCAGGACAUUCUUUCUCUAACAUACAUUCUACUGCCAAAGGAGAGUUGCCCUUUGACUCUUUUGUUUACAACCAUGAAUGUUCAUUUUGGUCAAGCUUUCAAGCAUUACAUCACGUGGAAUCAAAGGGCAUCCAGGGAAUGGCUUUCCAAACGAUCAAAGGAAAAAAGACGAUACAGUUUUCGCACUUUUAGCCGUAGUGACAGAAGAAAUUCCCGUAAUAGUCAAGGGUUCCAUCGUAGGGGUCGAGUGCCCCAUCAUCGGGCUCAAAAUGAAGAUGACAUAGGGCUAAACUGAAGCCAUUGUACGACUACGAUCAGGAAUUGUAGCAUUAUGAUUGGACGCCUAGAAACGGUCUGUUUUGAUCCUCUUUUGGGCUUCAUUCUUAACUGUGUUUUUGGAUAAUUCUUGGGGUUUUUUCAUAGCUUAUUUAAGUUAUUUGUUUCUUUUUUAUUAAAGAAAUUCUAUUAUUAUAAAUAAGAGCAUAGGCAUUGUUUUUAUUACUUA